ACGGGUGGGUGAGUGGCUAAUACCAACGGUCUGUAAAACCGUCGCUCGGAAGGGCUACGCAGGUUCGAAUCCUGCCCCGUCCA
rnacentral:tRNA from 1 species